rnacentral:rRNA from 1 species
GUCCUAGCCGUAAACGGUGCACGUUUGCUGUAAGAGGAAUCGACCCCUUUUGUGGCGAAGCUAACGCGUUAAACGUGCCGCCUGGGAAGUACGGUCGCAAGAUUAAAACUCAAAGAAAUUGACGGGGGCCUGCACAAGCGGUGGAGUAUGUGGCUCAAUUCGAUGCAACGCGAAGAACCUUACCUGGCCUUGACAUGUACGUAGUAGAAGGGUGAAAGCCUGACGAGGUAGCAAUACCAGCGUACACAGGUGCUGCAUGGCUGUCGU